GGCCGCUGCCGCCAUUUUCUCUGCGAGACCUUUGCCCGUGUUCAGUCGCUCAGUCCCUGGAGAAGCUUGAAAGUUCUGAUAUUUAGUUCGGAAGUGAUUCUUUUGCGCAUUUUUUUGCGCCUAUCGUGUAAUUUGUGACUAGACGAGGUAAUAAUGCUACCGCAAACUACAGUCUACGAGUGUGGUAGCUUUUUUUCUCUCCAGAGUUGGUUUCUCUUCGCCAGCCACCACCCUGUGUGAUCAUCGUCUCGUGGCCUGAGUGAAACCUCCGAAUUUUUCAAGAAUGGAACAUUUUUCCUUCUCUCAUCCGCGAAGCACUCAAGGAACUCAGAAAUGCUUCUAUCAGAAGAAUCGCACCAGAAGAACCAAGCAGCUGGAAAGGUGACACAUUUAACCUGAAGUGCCGCUUUGUGGAUUUGAUCCCCUGAUGAAUCUGCAUAAGAAAUAGAGGAAACCACACACUUGACAAGAUGGGAAAAACCGGUAUCAAUGCAAGUAAUGCUGCUAGAAUAUACUGUAAUACAAACUGUUUUUUUUUUUUUUUUAUCUCUAGACCUUUCGGAACAAGGUAGUAGCUCAAAUGACUCUGUAUACAUUCUACUUCCAGAGUUAGAAGAUUUUUUGCUUGUGACUCGUCAAAAAAUCUAAAUUUGAUUUAUGGAGCUGCGUCUGCUUCAUGACUAAAAAAACUUUCCGGAUGCUCCUAACAAUUUAAUCAAUGAGCAUCAGUGACCCGUCGAGUUGUUAAUCACACUGUAAGUUUCUGAUGGUGUUCUCUCCACGAAAGUUGGUGGGAUCCCGUUGAUAAUUAAUUUUGAUAAUUCCGUCGUUUAAGUAGUCGAAAUUAGUCUCAUGAAUAGUAGGAGAUACCACCACUGUUAUGUUAUUGACAUUGGUAUCAUGCAGCCCCCAGUCCCUCAAAGUAACAUUUGGUUCAUACGUCAGAAAUCUUUUUAACUUUUCUCUCGCUUGGACGAUCAUCUGUGCUAAGGAGUUGCAUGUUAAAUUUAUCAGCGAUGGUGCUGUUGGGGCAGAAUUUUUAACGUGAAAAUGUGAGUCAAUGUAAUCUACACUUCUCUUUUAUCUACGAGAAUCGAAAUCGUAGUCUAUUUCAUUAUUUAAAUGUCGGGAGACACCAACAUUUAAAGUCAGUUGUUCUCCGGACGAUUCUUGACAAACUAAGUCUGUUUCAUCUCCUGUGUAGAUUGAAACAUUAUUCAAAUAAAUAUAAUCCUGAUCUACAGAUAUUUGUAUUUCAUGCAGAGGCUUUUCAAUGUAAAUGGGGACAGUCUGAUCUGAUUCAAAGCGAAGUAGUUCUGCCUCGUCUAUACUUUCACUGAACAAAGCACGGAUAUUGACCCCCUGAACAUCGUACUUAAUAUUAUUUAUUUGUAUAAUGCUACUGGAGUUAACAUUUACAUGCUGAAAAAUUUCGGCUCCAUCAUUAUGCUGAAAAUGUAAAACACGCCAGGACCUUUCUUGGACCAUAAUUGGAUUAUUUUGAAACUUUGAGUUACUUUCCUGAAGCUGAUAUAGCCCUAAAAAUGUGAGCUCUUGCUCUAUUGUUAAAUUUCUUGAAUGAUUUAUCACUUCAGUUCUCUUUUGUUUCGUAUCAGUAAAAACAGUGUGCUUGCUCGAAACGCCUACGCUGGUACCAGACAUGGAGUUGUGGACCGUCCAUGUAUCACUCUCCCUAGUAUUAUUGACAGUUAGGUUGAGAGCGCGGGCGAGGACACUAAAAAAUUGUUAAAAAGUCACGUCGUAUGAUACGCUUCUUAAUGUUGGCUCUAUAUUUUCAACCUCAAUGAUGUAAGUCGACAUCUUUUGAACCCUCGUUACCUUCAUGUUCAAAUCCAAAAUAAUUGUCAAAGGUGUAAUUGUCGUGUGAGGUGGGGGAUCAUUUCUGAAAACUAUUGCGUUCAUGUAUCUUUUCAUUAUGCUGACGCUAAAAUAAUUGAAUUUUGUAAAAACUGUUAUGACCGAUGGAUUAUCCAUGAUCCGUAGAUUUUCCCCCAAAUUUAUAGUCGUAAAACGCUUGUCUAUAAACAGCCGACCUAUAAGUGUGUUGUUCAAGUUUAAAAUGAAUGUGCUGGUAUUAUUCAAUAUGAUUUCAUUGAUUUUUGUACUUUUACUUCCAUAAUACAUCAGCGAUGUAGUGCCGUGAAGAUAAAACACAUUUUCCGGCUCCACGCUCAGCACAUCUAUCUGAGUCAGAGGACAUGAAUCAUUUAGUAUAAAUGGAAGGGAAAGGCCUACAAUGUAUCUACUUGUUGCAGGCGCAUCAUUGCACGCCAAAGUAAAUAUAGAGUGCUUCUUUUGUAAGAGCCUUGCGUAGGGUUUGUCCGAAAUAAUGGUUAUGAAAUCAAAGUUUUGUGGGGCUCUAGGGAUAUCAGGAAAACCACGCAUCGCUGCCUCAUAAUCUGACUGAAAUUUUCCUUGUGUAAAGAAAUUCUGCAAUCGAGAAAAAAAACCUUUAUCUGCGUGGGUUCUACCAAAUUCCCCAUUUUCCAUGAACUUUAACCCUGCCUCAUCAAUAUAAAUGUUUAAAUUUCCCUCAGAAGGAUCAAAAUGUGUAAAUACCGUUCUAGUUGAGUUUAAUAAAGUUUUUAGUAUUGGGUCA